rnacentral:rRNA from 1 species
GAUGAACGCUAGCUACAGGCUUAACACAUGCAAGUCGAGGGGCAGCAUUUCAGUUUGCUUGCAAACUGGAGAUGGCGACCGGCGCACGGGUGAGUAACACGUAUCCAACCUGCCGAUAACUCGGGGAUAGCCUUUCGAAAGAAAGAUUAAUACCCGAUGGUAUAAUCAGACCGCAUGGUCUUGUUAUUAAAGAAUUUCGGUUAUCGAUGGGGAUGCGUUCCAUUAGGCAGUUGGUGAGGUAACGGCUCACCAAACCUUCGAUGGAUAGGGGUUCUGAGAGGAAGGUCCCCCACAUUGGAACUGAGACACGGCCCAAACUCCUACGGGAGGCAGCAGUGAGGAAUAUUGGUCAAUGGGCGCAGGCCUGAACCAGCCAAGUAGCGUGAAGGACGACUGCCCUAUGGGUUGUAAACUUCUUUUAUAUGGGAAUAAAGUUUUCCACGUGUGGAAUUUUGUAUGUACCAUAUGAAUAAGGAUCGGCUAACUCCGUGCCAGCAGCCGCGGUAAUACGGAGGAUCCGAGCGUUAUCCGGAUUUAUUGGGUUUAAAGGGAGCGUAGGUGGACAGUUAAGUCAGUUGUGAAAGUUUGCGGCUCAACCGUAAAAUUGCAGUUGAUACUGGCUGUCUUGAGUACAGUAGAGGUGGGCGGAAUUCGUGGUGUAGCGGUGAAAUGCUUAGAUAUCACGAAGAACUCCGAUUGCGAAGGCAGCUCACUGGACUGCAACUGACACUGAUGCUCGAAAGUGUGGGUAUCAAACAGGAUUAGAUACCCUGGUAGUCCACACAGUAAACGAUGAAUACUCGCUGUUUGCGAUAUACAGUAAGCGGCCAAGCGAAAGCAUUAAGUAUUCCACCUGGGGAGUACGCCGGCAACGGUGAAACUCAAAGGAAUUGACGGGGGCCCGCACAAGCGGAGGAACAUGUGGUUUAAUUCGAUGAUACGCGAGGAACCUUACCCGGGCUUAAAUUGCAUUUGAAUAAUCUGGAAACAGGUUAGCCGCAAGGCAAAUGUGAAGGUGCUGCAUGGUUGUCGUCAGCUCGUGCCGUGAGGUGUCGGCUUAAGUGCCAUAACGAGCGCAACCCUUAUCUUUAGUUACUAACAGGUCAUGCUGAGGACUCUAGAGAGACUGCCGUCGUAAGAUGUGAGGAAGGUGGGGAUGACGUCAAAUCAGCACGGCCCUUACGUCCGGGGCUACACACGUGUUACAAUGGGGGGUACAGAAGGCAGCUACCUGGUGACAGGAUGCUAAUCCCAAAAGCCUCUCUCAGUUCGGAUCGAAGUCUGCAACCCGACUUCGUGAAGCUGGAUUCGCUAGUAAUCGCGCAUCAGCCAUGGCGCGGUGAAUACGUUCCCGGGCCUUGUACACACCGCCCGUCAAGCCAUGAAAGCCGGGGGUACCUGAAGUACGUAACCGCAAGGAGCGUCCUAGGGUAAAACUGG